rnacentral:rRNA from 1 species
AGUGAACGCUGGCGGUAGGCCUAACACAUGCAAGUCGAACGGCAGCACAGUAAGAGCUUGCUCUUACGGGUGGCGAGUGGCGGACGGGUGAGGAAUACAUCGGAAUCUACUUUUUCGUGGGGGAUAACGUAGUGAAACUUACGCUAAUACCGCAUACGACCUACGGGUGAAAGCAGGGGAUCUUCGGACCUUGCGCGAUUGAAUGAGCCGAUGUCGGAUUAGCUAGUUGGCGGGGUAAAGGCCCACCAAGGCGACGAUCCGUAGCUGGUCUGAGAGGAUGAUCAGCCAUACUGGAACUGAGACACGGUCCAGACUCCUACGGGAGGCAGCAGUGGGGAAUAUUGGACAAUGGGCGCAAGCCUGAUCCAGCCAUACCGCGUGGGUGAAGAAGGCCUUCGGGUUGUAAAGCCCUUUUGUUGGGAAAGAAAAGCAGCAGGUUAAUACCCCGCUGUUCUGACGGUACCCAAAGAAUAAGCACCGGCUAACUUCGUG